UACGUAGGGUGCAAGCGUUAAUCGGAAUUACUGGGCGUAAAGCGGGCGCAGGCGGUUAUAUAAGACAGAUGUGAAAUCCCCGGGCUCAACCUGGGAACUGCAUUUGUGACUGUAUAGCUAGAGUACGGUAGAGGGGGAUGGAAUUCCGCGUGUAGCAGUGAAAUGCGUAGAUAUGCGGAGGAACACCGAUGGCGAAGGCAAUCCCCUGGACCUGUACUGACGCUCAUGCACGAAAGCGUGGGGAGCAAACAGG
rnacentral:rRNA from 1 species